GCACCAGUAGCUCAGUGUUAGAGCACCGGUCUUGUAAGCCGGUGGCCGGAGGUUAAAACCCUCCCUUGUGCU
rnacentral:tRNA from 1 species